rnacentral:rRNA from 1 species
AGCGAACGCUGGCGGCAGGCCUAACACAUGCAAGUCGAACGAACUCUUCGGAGUUAGUGGCGGACGGUUGAGAAACACGUGGGAACGUGCCAUUUGGAUCGGAAUAACUCAAGGAAACUUGUGCUAAUACCGAAUGUGCCCUUCGGGGUAAAGAUUUAUCGCCAUUAGAGCGGCCCGCGUCUGGUUAGCUACUUGGUGAGGUAACGGGUCACCAAGGCGACGAUCAGUAGCUGGUCUGAGAGGAUGACCAGCCACACCGGGACUGAGACACGGCAAAGACUCCUACGGGAGGGAGCAGGGGGGAAUCUUGCGCAACGGGCGAAAGCUUGACGCCGCCAGGACGCGUGAAUGAAGGAGGUAUUAGGAUUGUAAAAUGCUUUAACCGGGGACGAUAAUGACGGUACCCUGAGAAGAAGCCCCGGCUAACUUCGUG